AUUUUCACCACAAGAUGAUACAAUGUAAUGUUAUCUGAUACUACCAGCUCAACUUUUAAAAUACAGAGGUGCUCUGCAGGUCAUCUCCAUUGGAUGGAAAGGGUAGGGCAGUAGAGUGACUCAGUCUUGAGGAUGAUGAGUGUUAACGAGCUCCACAAGAUCACAAAGUGGUUCGCACAAGCCUCGUGACUCGUUGGUACAGCUGCUGGACAACUGUCAUGAGAUUCCUAAAAUGGUUUGUCAAAAGAGCACAAAAGACAUGAUCAGUGAGUGGUGCCAAACACAGCAAACUGUUCAAGAUUUGGUGGUGGUGGUGAACCCUUGUGGAAAAUGGCCCCAUCAUCCCGAAUGUCUGCACCAGGGACUCUUCGAGGUGACUGGGAUGACAGCCAGAUAGCAGGCUGGACAAGAGUCAGAUGCAGAGGAACCACAGCUGCAGACGAGAGAGGCGGGGAGAUACUUUGCCCUCACAGGAGUAAAGGCACAUCAGGAGUGGAUGAGUACCCUCUGAAUGUUCUACCUUUUUUCCAUCACUUUUUAAUUAACAGCACUUUUUAUUAUUGUUUUACAAGGAGUUUGGCAGAGAAAGAUAUUAACAAGAAACAUUUACAGAAGUCAAUACAAAUAGGAAAAAGGGUCUUUGGAUUAAAAUGUCAAUAUACCACAGCAGGAGUGGAUGUUGGUGGAUAUAAUUGAUUUGUUUUGAGGGGGUGGGGAUCUCACAGAUAUACAAGACAUAGAGCUUGUAUAUGACUCAAUGGCAGCUUACAAUAAGACAUGCUGGAUAGGAGAGUCGGGUGGCAACCUCACGGCCAUGAUGCCUGGUGUGAGACCUAUACCAACCCCUGUUGUCUGCACCUCAAUGACACCAGAAAUUAUGGGAUGGAUCCUGAGUGUGGCCUGUCUCCUCAUUAUCUCAACCAACCAGCUGGUAGCUGCUGCUCUGUUUCAGCUAAUGUGCAGGAAGGGCAGUCAGAGCUGGAGCUUCGUUAUCAACCUGGCCAUGCCAGAUACCUUGAUGUCCCUAACAACAGGGUUUCAUUUCAAUUCAGGGGAUGAACAGACUCAAUUUGUGAAUUCUUGAUCAACUGGAUAAGGAACAUGAUAUAUUUUUACACUAAUAAUCUAAAUACAGUAUUAUAUAGUAUGUUUGUUAUUCUGCUCUGCAGGCAUGGCGCGGCAGCUACAGCAGAGAAACUUCGACAGCAGCAGCCUUUGCACCUUCUUCUCUGUCAUCCGUCCUCGGGGCUUCAUUGUGGUGUUCUGUACUGGCUUCUUCCCCAUCCUCUCUGUCUUCAACUACUUCUACCUGGACAUCCUGAAGAUUGCCUGCGGCCACCAGAUACAGAUCCGUCAGGCCAGCUAAAGGCUUCCACAGCGCAGCCACUACUGGGGCCACGCCAAGGCUCUGAGGACUGUGGCUCUGCUGGUGGUCUGUUUCACCAUUUGCUGGUGCCGUUUGUGGUGUGUGUGGUGCAGGUGCUGUGUGAGGGCUGUGAGUUGUACAAGGUGCUGGAGAACGACCUGUAGCUGCUGGGGCUGUCCAACCCCCUCAUCAACCCUCUGGUGUACGCCUGCUGGCAGAGGGAGGUGUGGCUGAAGAUCGGGGCACUCAUCUCCGUUAAGGACAGGAACAUAGCCGUGUUAGAGGCUAGUGAGGGAUGUCAGACAGAGCUGCUUGUUGCAGAUAAGAAGCUGUGCGUGAUGAUGUAGUGCAGAUAACUACUUUUGCAGUUAAAUUCGAAUGUAGCGAAUAACAAUGUCAAGUUCAAUGGGUUUCCAUCACAUUUUCAACUGUACUGAUGGUUUUCUCGCAAUUUGUUUUGCGUUAUAUAGCGAAUUUGUGAAAGUGUUCAAUCUUGUUUUCAUCAGACCAGAUAAUCUUAUUUCUCAUGGUGUGACAGUCUUUAGGUGCCUUUUGGCAAACUCCAAGCGGGCUGUCAUGUGCCUUUUACUGAGGAGUGGCUUCCGUCUGGCCA